UACGGAGGAUGCGAGCGUUAUCCGGAUUUAUUGGGUUUAAAGGGUGCGUAGGCGGGCAUUUAAGCCGGCGGUCAAAUGUCGGGGCUCAACCCCGUCGUGCCGUUGAAACUGACACCCUUGAGUGAGUGAGAAGUAAGCGGAAUGCGUGGUGUAGCGGUGAAAUGCAUAGAUAUCACGCAGAACGCCGAUUGCGAAGGCAGCUUACCGGCGCUCAACUGACGCUGAGGCACGAAAGUGCGGGUAUCGAACAGG
rnacentral:rRNA from 1 species